AGCAAACAGGGAUUACCUCAGUAACGGCGAGUGAAGCGGUAACAGCUCAAAUUUGAAAUCUGGCCCUUUUAGGGUCCGAGUUGUAAUUUGUAGAAGAUGCUUUGGGUGUGGCUCCGGUCUAAGUUCCUUGGAACAGGACGUCAUGGAGGGUGAGAAUCCCGUAUGUGACUGGCGGCCUUCGCCCGUGUAAAGCUCUUUCGACGAGUCGAGUUGUUUGGGAAUGCAGCUCUAAAUGGGAGGUAUAUUUCUUCUAAAGCUAAAUACGGGCCAGAGACCGAUAGCGCACAAGUAGAGUGAUCGAAAGAUGAAAAGCACUUUGGAAAGAGAGUUAAACAGUACGUGAAAUUGUUGAAAGGGAAGCGCUUGCAACCAGACUUGCGUGCCGUCGAUCAUCGUGGGUUCUCCCGCGUGCACUCGGCGGCGUUCAGGCCAGCAUCGGUUCCGGUGGUUGGAUAAAGGCCUUGGGAAUGUGACUCCUCUCGGGGAGUGUUAUAGCCCUCGGUGCAAUGCAGCCUACUGGGACCGAGGACCGCGCUUCGGCUAGGAUGCUGGCGUAAUGGUUGUAAGCGACCCGUCUUGAAACACGGACCAAGGAGUCUAACAUCUAUGCGAGUGUUAGGGUGUUAAACCCUUCCGCGAAAUUAACGUGAACGGAGGUACGAACCCUUUAGGGCGCAGUAUCGACCGGUCCUGAUGUCUUCGGAUGGAUCUGAGUAAGAGCAUAGCUGUUGGGACCCGAAAGAUGGUGAACUAUGCCUGAAUAGGGUGAAGCCAGAGGAAACUCUGGUGGAGGCUCGCAGCGGUUCUGACGUGCAAAUCGAUCGUCAAAUUAGGGCAUAGGGGCGAAAGACUAAUCGAACCAUUGGAAACCUAACUACUAGGUGGUUAAGAGA
rnacentral:rRNA from 1 species